rnacentral:tRNA from 1 species
GCCCGCGUAGCUCAGUUGGAUAGAGCGCUGGUUUCCUAAACCGGAGGUCACAGGUUCGAAUCCUGUCGCGGGUA